AACGCUGGCGGCAGGCUUAACACAUGCAAGUCGAACGGCGUAGCAAUACGUCAGUGGCAGACGGGUGAGUAACACGUGGGAACCUUCCUAGGGGUACGGAACAACUCAGGGAAACUUGAGCUAAUACCGUAUACGUCCGUGAGGAGAAAGAUUUAUCGCCCUUAGACGGGCCCGCGUCGGAUUAGCUAGUUGGUGGGGUAACGGCCUACCAAGGCGACGAUCCGUAGCUGAUCUGAGAGGAUGAUCAGCCACACUGGGACUGAGACACGGCCCAGACUCCUACGGGAGGCAGCAGUGGGAAUCUUGGACAAUGGGCGCAAGCCUGAUCCAGCCAUGCCGCGUGAGUGAAGAAGGCCUUCGGGUUGUAAAGCUCUUUUGUCAGGGACGAUAAUGACGGUACCUGAAGAAUAAGCCCCGGCAAACUUCGUG
rnacentral:rRNA from 1 species